rnacentral:rRNA from 1 species
AUUGAACGCUGGCGGCAGGCUUAACACAUGCAAGUCGAGCGGAGAUGAGGUGCUUGCACCUUAUCUUAGCGGCGGACGGGUGAGUAAUGCUUAGGAAUCUGCCUAUUAGUGGGGGACGACAUUCCGAAAGGAAUGCUAAUACCGCAUACGUCCUACGGGAGAAAGCAGGGGAUCUUCGGACCUUGCGCUAAUAGAUGAGCCUAAGUCGGAUUAGCUAGUUGGUGGGGUAAAGGCCUACCAAGGCGACGAUCUGUAGCGGGUCUGAGAGGAUGGUCCGCAACACUGGGACUGAGACAAGGCCCAGACUCCUACGGGAGGCAGCAGUGGGGAAUAUUGGACAAUGGGGGGAACCCUGAUCCAGCCAUGCCGCGUGUGUGAAGAAGGCCUUAUGGUUGUAAAGCACUUUAAGCGAGGAGGAGGCUACUGAGACUAAUACUCUUGGAUAGUGGACGUUACUCGCAGAAUAAGCACCGGCUAACUCUGUGCCAGCCGCCGCAGUAAUAC